rnacentral:rRNA from 2 species
GACGAACUGUGCAAACGUUAUUCGGAAUCACUGGGCUUAAAGGGUGCGUAGGCGGUCUUUUAAGUAGGGUGUGAAAGCCCCCGGCUCAACCGGGGAACUGCGCCCUAAACUAGAAGGCUUGAGUGAGGUAGGGGUGUGUGGAACUUCCAGUGGAGCGGUGAAAUGUGUUGAUAUUGGAAGGAACGCCGGUGGCGAAAGCGACACACUGGACCUUGUCUGACGCUGAGGCACGAAAGCCAGGGGAGCAAACGGG